GGAAGGAUUCCUUAACGGCCUCAGUGAAGACCAGGUCCAACUGGACUCCAUCCAGAACCGACUGCUGCUGCUCCUCCUGCUGGACGGCAGGGGAAACGCGUCUGGAAUCUGCUCCCUGCACCACGGAGUCAUGACUGAAGGACGGGAACAGAGCCGUUAGAAACACGGACAGUUACAGGUCAAAGGCUAAAGGUCAUCAUCCUGAACCAAUAUGGCUGCUUGGAGGGGUUGAAGCUGAUGAUGCUACUGCUGCUGGUCACGUUUUCCAAUGGUGGACAUGCUUCUGCUAAUCCCCUAACCAAGUGGCGCCCUGGUUCCAACAUCUUUAAAAAUCUGAUUCAGACACAACGUGUGGCGUUUGCAGAGACCCAGGUCCAGAACCGGGUCCAGAACCAGUUGCAGGUCGGCCUCACCGUCACAGCGCCUCCUGGUGUUGAAGGCAAACUGCUCCUGAGUGCUGUUUCUCUGGGCGGCGCCACCGGG